GUGGGGAAUUUUGGACAAUGGGCGCAAGCCUGAUCCAGCCAUGCCGCGUGCAGGAAGAAGGCCUUCGGGUUGUAAACUGCUUUUGUACGGAACGAAACGGUCCUGGUUAAUACCCGGGGCUAAUGACGGUACCGUAAGAAUAAGCACCGGCUAACUACGUGCCAGCAGCCGCGGUAAUACGUAGGGUGCAAGCGUUAAUCGGAAUUACUGGGCGUAAAGCGUGCGCAGGCGGUGCUGUAAGACAGGCGUGAAAUCCCCGGGCUUAACCUGGGAAUUGCGCUUGGGACUGCAGUGCUGGAGUGCGGCAGAGGGGGAUGGAAUUCCGCGUGUAGCAGUGAAAUGCGUAGAUAUGCGGAGGAACACCGAUGGCGAAGGCAAUCCCCUGGGCCUGCACUGACGCUCAUGCACGAAAGCGUGGGGAGCAAACAGGAUUAGAUACCCGGGUAGUCC
rnacentral:rRNA from 1 species